AUGGCCUCCUCUAGCUCUUCUUCCUCACGAUCUCAUUAUUCCGCUAGUAGAGUUCAAGGUGCACCAGUGAGAUCGCCGAUAAGGUACCGGCAAGGUCCGCUAGACUAUGAGCCAUAUGACCCGUUUGAAUGCAGGCCGCCUAAGAAAGCAGCCAUGUGGAUCUCGUGGAGCGACGAAAAUCCAAGGAGGAGGUACAGAAGUUGUUACUAUUCACGGAGGGGAGGUUGCCAGUAUUUCAUAUGGCAUGACGAUCCAAUCGAUGAUCCGUUCCUUAAGCAGCUGGUACUGGAUCUGAGGGACCAAGUGUGGCUGCUUGAGAGGUUGAACUCGAACCUGCAUGAUGCUAAUGAGCCAUUGCAUGUGCAACCCGCAGCUGACUCGUCGUCUCCGUGA
rnacentral:rRNA from 1 species